rnacentral:lncRNA from 1 species
CCUUUCUCAACUUGUCUCUUUGAAUCCAAAACCACUUCGGAACUGGGGGCUGGUGUCUGGGACUUGCUGUUACCAAGCACGUUUCCCUUCCCUUGUGGCACCUCUGUGUGUGGCAGGCCUGCUGCCUGCAGCCUGGGCUGAGGCUCACUGAGGGCUUGGAGCUGAAACAGAAGCACAGGACAGCCAGCCAGGGCAGGGCUCUGUGAACAGAAGCCGUAAAAGAAUCCUACCAAUGCAAUGAAUCCCACCAAUCCCACCACCAUAUCCUUCCAACCAAGACCCCGAGAAACGCCACAGUCUACUCUGGUCACGCCCUGGUCAUGUGGCGUAAAUCAGAAGACAAGAGGUUGAGUCAAGGUCUCCCAGAAAGUACUGUCAAUACAGAAUAAAACUGGGCAGUGAUUCUGCUGAGAGGAAGCAUUUACGGAAUAAUAAAAUACCUAGGCGGAAGAUCAACAACAAAAAAGACAUGAACGACACAAUACUCCUUGACGAAACAAACAUCUGCAGAACCCUCAGCCUAGCAAGGGCAAACACACCUGCUUCUCAGGCACACACACAAUAUUUUCCAGGAUGGACAAAUGGCAGGCCACAAAGCAAGCCUCCAUACACUUAAAUAUUUAACUAAAAUCACACAAAGUAAAUUAAUAGAAA